rnacentral:misc_RNA from 1 species
GAUGAAGAACGUAGCGAAAUGCGAUAAGUAAUGUGAAUUGCAGAAUUCAGUGAAUCAUCGAAUCUUUGAACGCACCUUGCGCUCCUUGGUAUUCCGAGGAGCAUGCCUGUUUGAGUGUCAUGAAAUUCUCAACCUUUUCAGCUUUCUUUGUUGAUCAGGCUUGGAUGUGGGAGUAUGCGGGCUUCUCAGAAGUCGGCUCUCCUGAAAUGCAUUAGCGGGACCUUUGUUGCCUGGCUUUGGUGUGAUAAUUAUCUACGCCAUUGUAGUCAAGCAGCUUAAAAUGAGGUUUCAGCUUCUAACCGUCUCCCCUGAGACAAAUUUUUGACAAUUUGACCUCAAAUCAGGUAGGACUACCCGCUGAACUUAAGCAUAUCAAUAAGCGGAGGA